AUGUUUGCUGCUCCUUUUCUUUGUGAUUAGGAGGUUGCCUUAUAGAGAUGCUAAUUGAAGUCUACAGGACAGCUAGCAUACUCAGCAGGCAGGUAGGUGCGGACUUGACAAAAGGCUAUUCACCUGGUUACCUAGGAGACAGAAUGCUGAUGUAUUUUCCCCGCUCAAUUUAUGUGUUGGUAUAAAAGAUGUCUGGAGAAUAACCGCGGGGAGAUCUUCAGGAGGAAGAGGCCUGAGAUGCCCUUUUCUGUAAUAAUGGUGUAAGCUGUUUCUGGUUAUUCCUUGCGCCUCUGUACCAGUCCAGUUAGGGAAAAUAAUUAUCUGUGUUGGAGCCACAUGGGCUCUAACACAAAUGCGCCCAGCAACGUGCCCCAAGACGAAUGCCGGAGGAAGAACAAGAAGUUCGAAAAAGAACGUGGUGCUGACAGCCAAACUCCAUGAAAAGCCGGAGAUAGGGCCAGAUGAGAGAGACUGUGAAUGCUAAUUGCUGAAUCCCAGAGGGAAACCGGACAAAAUAUGGAGGAGAACGUGAGGCUGAUCCGCGCACCCCAAAAAGCAAGGAAGAAGGGACCAGACGUGAGGAACCCGCGAGAAAAAAAUUGAUGGAUGUACAAUUUGUGCACAGGUUUUAGACAGACAAAAUGACAACCAGGAACGCAGUAAGACUGGACAAAUGUGUCUACAUGCGGAUUGUCUGAAACAUCACAUUUUUCUACUUACAUGUCUACGCAGCCCUCGGAACAGUCACACGAAUCAGAAAACAUGCUGGAAGAGCUUAGAUAACAUGCUCGGGGCCACACUGUCCUUCUGUACUUAAACUGUGGGAGUUUCCUUCUGUCUACCUCAUUACAGAAAGAAAUCGGCACUGGUUCCAUUCCAUUACUAAUAUCUACAUCCGAAACAACUUCAUCUUGCUUUGGGUGAUUUCGAGUUAACUGAACGUAUGUAUUGAAGGAAAAGUUGUCU